UUACGAUUCGAUAUGGUUCGGCUCAGUUUGAGAGGGUAUGACGUCAUUUUGUGUUGUCAUUUUCCAUACAAGUGAAUGAAGUUGACAGAAAUGUGAGCUGGACCCUAUCCCAGGUGAUGUGGGCAAGAGAAGAGGGGUACACCCUGGAGUGGUCACCAAUCAAUUGCGGGGCACAUACAGACAAAUACAGAAAUGUAAAAUGUUCUUUCAAUGAACAUGCUAUGCAAGUUUUUACAAUUUGGAAGGAAGCCAAUACUGGGGAAAACCCUUCAUCAGCCUCAAUGUUAUUUUUUUCAUGUCACUAUCAUACUUAAACAUACUGUACAUACUGUACCUUC